UGGAUAUUCAGGUUGAUAAUGCAUGAAAUUGAAAUAAUAUCAUAAAUGGUUGCCAAUUUUCUUCCUCCAUUGUAAUUAAUAGCCAUGAUUUGCUUUGUCUUUACAUGUAAACCUCGACAUAUGAAUAUGCAUGUUGCCCAUGACGGAGACAUGCAGUUGCUCUUGCUUUUCCAACAAGUGCAACAGAACAGAUGGUGACAAGAUCUUGAUUGAUGACGUCUGGAUCGGCUGUCAGCAGUCUUGAAAGUUUGAUUUCAAACAGAAUCAAACAGAUGUGGAGCAACUGGAACCCUCAUACGUUGCCGGCACAAGUGUAAAAUGAUGCUGCCACUGUGCCGAACACUUCGGCUCUUCCUCGAAAUAUACAACAACAAAAAGAGUUUAGCCUGGAAAAAUCUGAGUGUGAUGCAUUCCUCCCAUAAUACCACCAGGAAGUUCUCGUUCAUCCUGUAUCCACAUGGCCACACAUUCCAAGUCCAUGCAAUGUAAAUGAAUGAAGACUUGUCAUUUUUUUUCUUAGAGUUUCUUGGAAAGCUCGCGUGUCAUGCAUCAUCCAAGACUGUGCUUUUUAGCUUAAAAAAGUGUCAAAAGGUAGCCCAAGGAAACAAAGCCAAAGAAAGAUAUUAGGAGGAUAUUGUUUAAAAAAAAAAACCUUUAAUAGAAACAAAACCAUGAUUGGAACUGUUCAUCCAUGGAAUGAACAUAUUAGCAUAGAUUGAGAGUUAGGGAUCAGUGAGGUCUAUUAGUUGAGUUGAUUCCUGUGAUCUGGUAAAAUUCAAACAGCUUUUCCUUUUUAUUGGCCCAUGGGCUGCCUAAGUGGACACCACUAGAACCUUUGGAAAGACUGAAAGCAAACCCAUACUUUAAAAUUUACAACAGGGCCAUGCUGGGGAUGGCUCCGCAUGGCUUUAGUGUCUUGGCUUUUAGAGUCAUGGGUUCCUGAAAUUCAUAUGUGUAAUAAUAAUAAUAUUAAUCACUUACCAAUUUACCAGAAGUGAAACAGUCAAGGUAUAGUUAAGUGAUUCGUGUAAUGUCACAUG